CGGGAAUCGAGCCCGCUACCACAUUAAGCAUACCGCGGGCGGAAUUGGUUACGCCUUAACCAACUGAGCUAAUAGGGCGAC